rnacentral:rRNA from 1 species
AGUCGAGCGGAUGAAGGGAGCUUGCUCCCUGAUUUAGCGGCGGACGGGCGAGUAAUGCCUAGGAAUCUGCCUGGUAGUGGGGGAUAACGUUCCGAAAGGAACGCUAAUACCGCAUACGUCCUACGGGAGAAAGCAGGGGACCUUCGGGCCUUGCGCUAUCAGAUGAGCCUAGGUCGGAUUAGCUAGUUGGUGAGGUAAUGGCUCACCAAGGCGACGAUCCGUAACUGGUCUGAGAGGAUGAUCAGUCACACUGGAACUGAGACACGGUCCAGACUCCUACGGGAGGCAGCAGUGGGGAAUAUUGGACAAUGGGCGAAAGCCUGAUCCAGCCAUGCCGCGUGUGUGAAGAAGGUCUUCGGAUUGUAAAGCACUUUAAGUUGGGAGGAAGGGCAGUAAGUUAAUACCUUGCUGUUUUGACGCUACCGACAGAAUAAGCACCGGCUAACUUCGUGCCAGCAGCCGCGGUAAUACGAAGGGUGCAAGCGUUAAUCGGAAUUACUGGGCGUAAAGCGCGCGUAGGUGGUUCGUUAAGUUGGAUGUGAAAGCCCCGGGCUCAACCUGGGAACUGCAUCCAAAACUGGCGAGCUAGAGUACGGUAGAGGGUGGUGGAAUUUCCUGUGUAGCGGUGAAAUGCGUAGAUAUAGGAAGGAACACCAGUGGCGAAGGCGACCACCUGGACUGAUACUGACACUGAGGUGCGAAAGCGUGGGGAGCAAACAGGAUUAGAUACCCUGGUAGUCCACGCCGUAAACGAUGU